CAAUGAAUGUGUUUGUGAUAAAUAUGAUGUGUAAUAGUUGAGAUAUAGUUAUACUAAUAAUUAUUUCUUGCUCAUUUAAAUUUCAGAUUUAAAUAUUUGUCCUGAAUAUAUCUGUCAGCUCUACUUAGAGUACAUGAGGGCCAUUUGUGAUAGAGAUCCAUAGUGAGGUAGUGUUGGAGCCUGUCCAAGGAGGUUCUGAGAGGGAUAAACAGACUCAGUAGAAACAAGCUGAAAGCACUACUAGACGUCCAUGGGCUGACCCAGGAAUAAACAACUCAUGAGACUUGACCUGCCAUUAUCAUUAACAAAAGAAAGGUUCUACAAGCCAGGGACAUCCAAUACUAUGGAGAGCAAUGGUUGGCUCUCUGGAAAUCCCAUGAAGAUGCUCAGGGAACAAGAAAUGGGGACAAGAAAGCACCAUCAGCAACCAAUUGAGAAAAGGGACACAACCUCCUGAAAUACACUUAAAGAUGAUGACCAGGAAGCUAGCAAUGCAUACAGAUCCAUUAAAAAGAGAUUCCACGGAAGUCGAAUAUAAGAGUUAAAACUCUGUCAAUUUUCACUAAUGCCCCUUGUCAACGAAAUAAAUGAAAGCCAAAUAGUUAAACCCUGAAUUAGAGAAAUAAUCCAUCAUUUUACCAAUCUUCCCAGGAAAAAUAUGUAGUACUUUCCAGGAAGAUAGAAAAAAAAAUUAAAACUUUUAUAAGACUAUUGUUUCAACUGAUUUUUUUCCUGUUCAUUUCUCCAUUUUUUUUUUUCUGGUCAUACAAUAGUGGCUGCAACACAAAAAUAACAGACUCUCAUUCUACGAUUUAAAAAAAUUCUGAUAUAUUUUGAUUGACAGAUUAUGACUUUAUUUGUACUGGCUGGAGGUCAGUUUGUUUUUCUUUUCAGUAGUGCAGAUUGAGGCCUGAUAUGUUGUAAAGAAUGAAGGAAAGCAGGAAGGAGAGAAGGAAGGAGGAAAGAAAAGAAGGAAGGAGGAAGAAAGGAAAGAAGGAAAAAAGGAAGAGAGGAGGAGCGUAUAUAAAAAAGAAGGAAAGAAAAAGACAAAAAGAAUCAUUUUAGAAGAAACAUACCUCAAGGAACAGAUGAUAAAUCCUCUUAAUCAUUUCAUGCUGUACAACUAGUUCAUAAGAAUAUGAAUUUGAAAAAAACAAGAACUCAAACUAUAUAAUAAGCAUCAAUAUUAAAUCAAAAGGGAAAUCUGAGAACAAAACAAAGGAAUUGAAGGCAGAGUAUGAUUAUAAUACUUGUAUAUAAAUUAGAAAUGUUGGGUAACAAUAAAUGAGUCUAAAACCUAAAAUACUAAAAGUUAACUCUUAAAUGUAGUAAACACAGAUUAAAGUUAUAUGUAAAUUAAAGAAUGUGAAUGUAACCUGUUAGGAAUUGAAAAUAUACACAAUGAUCUAGUAUAGGAACAAUUGGUGUCAUGAAAUAGAGACCUGAACAAAACUGAAGUUGAAGAUGGGUAUAUAAUAUAAUUUAUUUGAAUGGAUGGAAUGUUCUAAUGAUCAUAUCAAGAGAGCAUAUUAUGUAUCAGAAAAUGUUGGUGCAGAUUCUUCACCAAUACCAAGUUUAUGCUAGUUAAGUUAUUGAGCUUCAACAACAAAAUACACGUGUGCAUCUUAGUCAAAAAAUAGGAGAAAGAAAUAAGAACUAGAAUGGUGAGAAAUUCAGGCUAGCUUUAGAUAUCUUCUUUGCAAUAUUUAAAGUUAGAAGAAAUCAGAAUAAGGUCUACAGAGAUUUAUAGAGAAAAUGUUUAAUUUCCAGGAAUAUUGCAUUCUGCUAGGAGAAUGUUAAAGAACCAGCAACAGGAAGAUAUUAUCAGCCAUGAAAAACUUAAGAGUACUUGUUAGAAAACCUUAAAAGAAACCAUUAAAGGGUCAUGACACUCAAUGGCGGGACCGUGCAGUGAAAUAUAAAGCAGGAUGUAAGAGGGAAUUAAGAACCACUACAAACUCACUGGAGAGAAUUAGUUACGAACAUGUGCUCCCCUCAAAACUCAUUGUCUCAAAGUUUAGAAAGGGAAAUAUUCCAGUAGAGGGAACCAGUGUCUGUAAUGCUUUACAUAUUUAUAAGGUCGAAGGUGAAGGGAACAUCUAUGCAAUUAGGAAAAAUGGAAGCACCCUUGUCAUAAAGGCGGUUUUGUGUCAGUUAGCUGAGUCUUAUCUCUGCCAAGCAAACACAGACAAGUUUGAUGAUUCUGCUUUUAAGUAAGAUACCACAAGGAGGGAACAGACCAGCCUCAGGAGCAUCAGAUCUGUCUGUUAUCAAACCAUUCAUUUAGACUUCAAAACUUCCUUCAAUUUCUAUUGUCUUUUAUAGUGAAAUCAAAAUAAUUAUUGUUAUUAAAAUUGUAUUUAUAAUAAACUCAUUUGAAGGUAUUUAUAUACAAUGU
ensembl:lncRNA